GGGGCGCCUCGGAGCCGCGUGCCCUCCGCCCCGGGGUGCCCAUUGCGCAGAGCGUGGCCUGGAGACCCGCGAGCCGGGGAAGGUCGCCGUGGAGUCCCGACCAGAGGCCGGGGUUGGGGUCGGUGCAGACCGAGGGCUGGUUUCCUCGACUGUGGGAGAAACGCCGGGAGCCGGAGUGACCCGAGGAGGGACUCCGCCUCCGAGCGGCUGAGGACCCCGGUGCAGAGGAGCCUGGCUCGCAGAAUUGCAGAGUCGUCGCCCCUUUUUACAACCUGGUCCCAUUUUAUCCUGCCGUACCCAGUUUUUGGAUUUUUGUCUUCCCCUUCUUCUCUUUGCUAAACGACCCCUCCAAGAUAAUUUUUAAAAAACCUUCUCCUUUGCUCACCUUUGCUUCCCAGCCUUCCCAUCCCCCCACCGAAAGCAAAUCAUUCAACGACCCCCG
rnacentral:sRNA from 1 species